rnacentral:rRNA from 1 species
AUACGGAGGGUGCGAGCGUUAAUCGGAAUUACUGGGCGUAAAGCGCGCGUAGGCGGUUUGUUAAGUCGGAUGUGAAAUCCCCGGGCUCAACCUGGGACCUGCAUCCGAUACUGGCAGGCUAGAGUCUGGUAGAGGGGGGUAGAAUUCCUGGUGUAGCGGUGAAAUGCGUAGAUAUCAGGAGGAAUACCAGUGGCGAAGGCGGCCCCCUGGACUGAGUCUGACGCUGAGGUGCGAAAGCGUGGGGAGCAAACAGGAUUAGAAACCCGAGUAGUCC